GGAGGGGGAGAGACCAGAGAGAGAGACAGCGAGAGAGAAGCAAAGCAAGAUGUUGGCGAUUUUGCGUUGUCUGCACAGACAAGGUGACAAACUUAUCGACUUUGUGAGUACUUUUAAGCCAGCCGGGAAGGUAACCCUACGCUCUCUCUUGUAUGCAUGAUGAUAUCUAUUCAAUUUCAAUAUAUCAAUUCACAAAUAAUAAUAAUAAUAAUAAUAAUAAUAAUAAUAAUAAUAAUAAUAAUAAUAAUAAUAAUAAUAAUAAUAAUAAUAAUAAUAAUAAUAAUCCUGUGUGUUUCAGAUUCUCAAAAAGCACUGGAUAUUGAGACAAGUGGUGGGUUCUGUGCCUUUUGCCGUGGUUCUUUCGCCGGCUAUGGUUGCGAGUGAGCGGGAGGGACGAGCUUGGAUUCGGAGCAAAUU
rnacentral:lncRNA from 1 species